rnacentral:rRNA from 1 species
AUUGAACGCUGGCGGCAGGCCUAACACAUGCAAGUCGAGCGAGCGGCGGACGGGUGAGUAAUGUCUGGGAAACCGCCUGAUGGAGGGGGAUAACUACUGGAAACGGUAGCUAAUACCGCAUACCAUCAGAUGUGCCCAGAUGGGAUUAGCUAGUAGGUGGGGUAACGGCUCACCUAGGCGACGAUCCCUAGCUGGUCUGAGAGGAUGACCAGCCACACGGGUACUGAGCCACGGUCCGGACUCCUACGGGAGACAGCAGGGGGGAAUAUUGCACAAUGGGCGCAAGCCUGAGGCAGCCAGGCCGCGUGUAUGAAGAAGGCCUUGGGGUUGUAAAGCACUUUCAGCGGGGAGGCGUUACCCGCAGAAGAAGCACCGGCUAACUCCGUGCCAGCAGCCGCGGUAAUAC